UACGUAGGGUGCAAGCGUUGUCCGGAAUUAUUGGGCGUAAAGAGCUCGUAGGCGGUCUGUCGCGUCUGCUGUGAAAACUCAGGGCUUAACCCUGAGCUUGCAGUGGGUACGGGCAGACUAGAGUGCGGUAGGGGAGACUGGAAUUCCUGGUGUAGCGGUGAAAUGCGUAGAUAUCUAAGGGAACGCCUGUGGCGAAAGCGGGUGACUGGGCCUGCCCUGACGCUGAGACGCGAAAGCGUAGGGAGCAAACGGG
rnacentral:rRNA from 1 species